AUAUGCCACCCAGUGAGCAGCACUUGAAGGCGUGGACGUCUUCUUCACGUCGCGCUACGUCAUUCCCCGGUCAUCCGACAGCAGACCUCUGGCUCCAUCUGGUGGCCGUGCACGGUACGCGCAUCUCAGACUGAAGAGCGCUUCCUCCUUUUCCGCCAGAUUUCUGGUUCUCCGCCAAGUUGAGUUACACGUCAGUGGAGAACCUGUACUGGUGAGUGGACGUGUACAGCGCGCGUCAGACGGUUCCCGGAUGCGCCGGACAGAAACAUGGAACGGGUGGUGGUGGAGGUGCCGAUCAACAACGGUUUUUCCCUCGCCGGCCCUUCCUCAACCCCACGUAAGCGCCAGGUGCGUUUUUCAGCACGGCAUGACAUCAUCCUUCUGCGGGAGGUCAUCGCCCAGAACCCCUUUGCCUCCAAAGAGCCAGGGCGAAUCUGGGCCCGUGUGGGAGAGAUUAUCACUGCAGCCCUCCAGGAUGAAAACUUUGAGGUGGAUGCCAGGAGGUGUAGAGAGAGGACCAUGCUGCUGCUCGACUACUAUAAGAAACAAGACUUUCCCAGUCUGCGCAGAUUUGGAACAGAGAGACUGUACGCCCAAAAGGAGGAUCUUCUCCAUGAGGUUCUGGAGCUGGAGGCUGAGAAGGGGCUCCUUGCCAGCGGGGAAAGCACUAAGUAUCAGGAGGAUGACCUGAGAAAGCGAGCCAUGGAAGAACUAAAUCUGCCAGAGCAGGACAAACCCAACAUCACAAUCACUCAAACAGCCACUGCAGCAGAACCAGAAGAAGAUCGUGAGGAAAUGGCAGAGCUUUCAGCUGCGCCCAUGGCCAAGCGGCCCUGCCAGUGCUGCUGCCAGACCUACUCUGAGAUUCUCAGCUUCCUGGAGAAACGCUCCGAGGCAGAGCAGCGGCUGCGUGAGGAGGAGCUCGCUCUGCGCAGGGAGGAGCUGGAGAUUCAAAGGAGUAAGAUCGCUCUGGAGAGGGAACGUUUGGGAGCUGAGAGAAAAGAGAGGGAACGCAGAUUUGAGCUGGAGAGCCAAGAGAGGCAGGUCAUCUUGGACCUGCUAAAAGAGAAGGUGCUGAAAGGCUGACAGAGUAGAAAUGUAUCACCUGCAUUUUAACGAAAUCUUGAAAAAUAAAAAAAAUAAAACAAAGCAUGAAAUACAGGGGGAAAAUGUGGUUGACUCCUUUAAAAAGAGGAUGGAAACCGGGAAACGAGAAGUAGAAUUAUCAGUGGUUGUUGGUUGUAUAUGUGAGGGUCACUGAUCUGGUAAAAUAACAAAGUCGGAUCAAAGAUGGUUUGAAAUGCAAGGCAGUAAUGCAGAAUUUGCAUGUGUCAAACUGCGGACGCUGCUGACAGCGUUUAAAAGCCGCAAAAACCAGCUUAUCAUUAGGUAGAUGCCAACAAGCUCACAGUCUUCAUUACUCACCCGAGCUUCACCUGAGAAAUGGAAUGCCAGCACGGAUGUGGUGUG
rnacentral:lncRNA from 1 species